rnacentral:lncRNA from 1 species
GGGGUCGUUUGGUUUGAAAAUGAGUUAUGAUGGGAUAAGUAAUGUUGGGAUAAGUUAUGUUGGGAUUAGUUAUGAUGGGAUAAGUUGUGUUGGGAUUAUUUUUUAUUGAGUGUUUGGUUUGUUGUAUUCAAAAUAAUAAAUUUUAAGAACAAUUUAUUUGUUUACAAAAAUGCCCUUCAUUAAUGUAAAAAGUGAUAUAACAAAAGGGUUGAAAGAGACAUUUUUGUCAUUUACCUAUUUUAUCCCGGGAUAAGUUAUCCCGGGAUUACUAUACCACCCAAAUAGAGGGAUAACUUAUCCCGGUACUAAUUAUUAAUCCCGGGAUAAGUUAUCCCGAACUUGCCAACCAAACAACAAAAUAAGCGGUACUAUAAUUUAAUCCCGGGGACUAUAUGGUAUUAUCCCUCACACCAAACGACCCCUAUAAGAGUUAAAAGAAGAAACACAUAUAGGACCUCAAAGUAUUUACCAAAAAAGAUGCAACAAAGUAUUAAAGCUUCUAAAAAAAAGCAUGUGAACAUAACUAAUAUAUUUAUCAGACCUCAUUAGCAGAGUUAACCAUGUGACUACAACAAUUCUUAAAUCCAACUCAAAAGCAUUUGAUGGAAUGAAAACUGGUUGAAUAUUUGCAAAAUUAUUGAGAUCCAUCAAUUCCACAUGAAGAAACAACAACAAUAAAAACAAAAUAGCAACUAACGAAGGAAGCAGUCCAAAGCCUACAAGAAAGAAACAAGAGC